UACGUAGGGGGCAAGCGUUGUCCGGAAUUAUUGGGCGUAAAGCGCGUGUAGGCGGCCCGGUAAGUCCGCUGUGAAAGUCGGGGGCUCAACCCUCGGAUGCCGGUGGAUACUGUCGGGCUUGAGUACGGAAGAGGCGAGUGGAAUUCCUGGUGUAGCGGUGAAAUGCGCAGAUAUCAGGAGGAACACCGGUGGCGAAGGCGGGAUCCUGGGCCAGUACUGACGCUGAGGAGCGAAAGCGUGGGGAGCAAACAGG
rnacentral:rRNA from 1 species